GUGGGGAAUAUUGGACAAUGGGCGCAAGCCUGAUCCAGCCAUGCCGCGUGAGUGAUGAAGGCCCUAGGGUUGUAAAGCUCUUUCAUCGGUGAAGAUAAUGACGGUAACCGGAGAAGAAGCCCCGGCUAACUUCGUGCCAGCAGCCGCGGUAAUACGAAGGGGGCUAGCGUUGUUCGGAAUUACUGGGCGUAAAGCGCACGUAGGCGGACAUUUAAGUCAGGGGUGAAAUCCCAGAGCUCAACUCUGGAACUGCCUUUGAUACUGGGUGUCUUGAGUAUGGAAGAGGUAAGUGGAAUUCCGAGUGUAGAGGUGAAAUUCGUAGAUAUUCGGAGGAACACCAGUGGCGAAGGCGGCUUACUGGUCCAUUACUGACGCUGAGGUGCGAAAGCGUGGGGAGCAAACAGGAUUAGAUACCCCAGUAGUCC
rnacentral:rRNA from 1 species